AGCGAACGCUGGCGGCAGGCCUAACACAUGCAAGUCGAGCGCCCAGCAAUGGGAGCGGCAGACGGGUGAGUAACGCGUGGGGAUGUGCCCAAUGGUGCGGAAUAACCCAGGGAAACUUGGAUUAAUACCGCAUGUGCCCUUCGGGGGAAAGAUUUAUCGCCAUUGGAUCAACCCGCGUCUGAUUAGCUAGUUGGGGAGGUAAAGGCUCACCAAGGCGACGAUCAGUAGCUGGUCUGAGAGGAUGAUCAGCCACACUGGGACUGAGACACGGCCCAGACUCCUACGGGAGGCAGCAGUGGGGAAUAUUGGACAUGGGCGCAAGCCUGAUCCAGCCAGGCCGCGUGAGUGAUGAAGGCCUUAGGGUUGUAAAGCUCUUUCGCCGGUGAAGAUAAUGACGGUAACCGGAGAAGAAGCCCCGGCUAACUUCGUGCCAGCCGCCGCCGUAA
rnacentral:rRNA from 1 species